rnacentral:rRNA from 1 species
AACCCCUGUGAACAUACCAUAUUGUUGCCUCGGCGGUGUCUGUUUCGGCAGCCCGCCAGAGGACCCAAACCCUAGAUUACAUUAAAGCAUUUUCUGAGUCAAUGAUUAAAUCAAUCAAAACUUUCAACAACGGAUCUCUUGGUUCUGGCAUCGAUGAAGAACGCAGCGAAAUGCGAUAAGUAAUGUGAAUUGCAGAAUUCAGUGAAUCAUCGAAUCUUUGAACGCACAUUGCGCCCGCCAGUAUUCUGGCGGGCAUGCCUGUCCGAGCGUCAUUUCAACCCUCAAGCCCCCGGGCUUGGUGUUGGAGAUCGGCGAGCCCCCCGGGGCGCGCCGUCUCCCAAAUAUAGUGGCGGUCCCGCUGUAGCUUCCUCUGCGUAGUAGCACACCUCGCACUGGGAAACAGCGUGGCCACGCCGUAAAACCCCCCACUUCUGAAAGGUUGACCUCGGAUCAGGUAGGAAUACCCGCUGAACUUAAGCAUAUCAAUAAGCGGAGGAAAAGAAACCAACAGGGAUUGCCCUAGUAACGGCGAGUGAAGCGGCAACAGCUCAAAUUUGAAAUCUGGCCUUCGGGUCCGAGUUGUAAUUUGUAGAGGAUGCUUUUGGUGAGGUACCUUCCGAGUUCCCUGGAACGGGACGCCAUAGAGGGUGAGAGCCCCGUCUGGUUGGAUACCGAUCCUCUGUAAAGCUCCUUCGACGAGUCGAGUAGUUUGGGAAUGCUGCUCUAAAUGGGAGGUAUAUGUCUUCUAAAGCUAAAUAUUGGCCAGAGACCGAUAGCGCACAAGUAGAGUGAUCGAAAGAUGAAAAGCACUUUGAAAAGAGAGUUAAAAAGUACGUGAAAUUG